rnacentral:ncRNA from 1 species
GAGAGCACAGUACGAAAAGUUGUAAGCUGUGUUCGGGGGAGAGUUAUUGUCUAUCGUUGGCAUCUAUGGUAGAAUAAGUUGGGGGAACUGAGAGGCGGUGCUUUACCUUAC